UACGAAGGGGGCUAGCGUUGCUCGGAAUUACUGGGCGUAAAGGGCGCGUAGGCGGCACUGUUAGUCAGGCGUGAAAAGUCCUGGGCUCAACCUGGGAACUGCGCUUGAUACGGCAGAGCUAGAGGAUGGAAGAGGGUCGCGGAAUUCCCAAGUGUAGAGGUGAAAUUCGUAGAUAUUGGGAAGAACACCGGUGGCGAAGGCGGCGACCUGGUCCUUCUGAGCUGAGGCGCGACAGCGUGGGGGAGCAA
rnacentral:rRNA from 1 species